rnacentral:lncRNA from 1 species
AUGUUCCCACCCUGGAUGCUUUUAGAAAGCAAGAGGAGGAUGCAUUGGUUCAAGGGACGGUGGAGAGGUUCACAUCAUUUCCAUCUCCUCAUCUGGCUCCUGCUGCUGGCACUGGCUCCACCCACAGCACUUGCUUCCUUCCUGGGGGACACCAAGGCAGUAUUAAACGGCUGUGAGGACCACUGGACCCUGCAGGCCAGGGCCGCCGUCCCUCAGCUCUCUCGGAUGACGCUGUGCGUCCACAUCCGUGUGGUGGCCCCCGGGGCCUGGGAGGCCUUCUCCUACAGCUCCACCUACGCGCCCAGACCCCAGCUGGGUUUGGAGGGAGACGACGGGGCGCUGUACGUGUGGCUGCUCAGCAAACGGCACAGGUUUCCUGUCCGGCUGUCCCCAGAACAGUGGCACUGGGUGUGUCUUCGGAUGGACGCACCUGGCAACUCCUUUGGCAUGAAGGUGGAUGGGGAGGUGGUGGCUGAGAGGACGGUCUCCGCUCAGGCCAUCCCCUCGGCCGGCUCCCUCUGGCUGGGCUGUGGUCCCAGGCCCCGGACCCCGGGGGCCAAACGCGGAGCGCUGGAGCUCUACCUGUUCGGCAUGUGGGCGGACCUGGGCGACCACGGGCCCUGUGAGGACGGGACCCUGGUUCCCUGGGACGCUGAGUCCUGGGGAGUGACCAGUCCCAGAGCUGCAAAGAGGGACCACAGCCUGAUGUGUGGCGAGACGAACCACAGACGCUUGAGACGCCGCAGAAGAGAUCUCUUGAGUUCUGCUCCAGCAAUAACUACAGCAAUAGGCGUCAUCGCAGACAUCCUGGCGCCACCUGUGACACCAGCUCUGCCCACUCAAACCAGCCCAGCCAAUCAGAUGCCAAGCAUGCUUCUGCCUGUCAAUCAAAGCACACCUGGAAUAUCACUCAUAUCAGGUUAUUUAAAUUGUAACAUCAGCCAACUCUGCUCAAACAACACUGCCUACUUUUGGAUGUCCAUAAGUGUGCAAGUCAGCGGGGGCAACGGGAUCGACCAAUCCGUUGUGAGAGAUCUGGUGUCCAGUGCGUUUGACUGCACAAAGUGGCUGGCAGGCUUCUGCCAGGGGGGCAACCAGCCUCAGAUAGUGGAGGUGACCUGUGCGGUGAACACCAGCAUAAGGAACACGACCUGCAGCGUGCUGUUGAUGCUCAGCCGCGCCGUCUCGCCCUGCGAACUGCAAGUGGCUGGACAGUCUGCACUGCAGCGGUCACAGACGAUACAAGUCGCCAUCGUAGGAGUAGUGGAGCGAGUCGGUGUGAACGUGUGUGAGCAAGAGGCGCCCCCCAGUGGCGGGUUCCUGAGGUGCACCUCCUCCCUGACGCUGAGUCAGAUCUGUCAGUCCAACCAGCAGCCGACGCUGACGUGGUGAGCGCUCUUUGUUCCCAGCUAGUAGCUCCACCUGUGCCUCCACUGUCUCACCCCCAUCUCCCCACCAGCUCCCCCAUGGAGUCCGGCUCCAACCCAGUCUCGGUUUUACAGCCCCAGUCCGACACCUGCGUCUGUGAGUAACCCACAGGCUCACUGUGCUCUGCAGGAUUCGGUGUCGCUUCUGCUGCUGCUUAACCAUGUUUCUCUGUGCCUCAGGGGAAGCGUCUCGCUUUUGUGACUGCACCGCUUUUUGUAGCUCCUCAAGUAAGAAAAUGCGACGUGUUACUGUAUGUGUCUACGUCAGGUUAUGCUGGCCUGCCAUCAAAAGGCGUGUCUGUAUGUGUAGAAACAAAAGUGAUAUUAAAGCAUUAAAGUCUCGGAGCAGAAGGUCGUAAAUGUUUUUUGAAGGUUUGGAUCUGAGGCCAGAGCUCUGCCCUGAGCUUCCUUUGUCAUGCUUUAUGUCCUUUCUUACUGUGUUUUUCUUUUCAGGCCAGUUUUUUUGCUACGGAAAUUAUUAUCACAGACUCUUCUAUUACCAUGAGUGUCCUUCAGAACGUGGUACGUGCAACACAGCAAUGCACAGCUGUUCAGUACAUCCUGUUCUACGCUCUGUCCUGACUGUCUGCUUUUAUUGAACAGUUGUCAGAACUUCGAGUCCUUCACGCAUGUGAGCCGGG